CCUACGGGAGGCAGCAGUGGGGGAUAUUGCACAAUGGGGGAAACCCUGAUGCAGCGACGCCGCGUGAGUGAAGAAGUAUUUCGGGAUGUAAAGUUCUAUCAGCAGGGAAGAAAAUGACAGUACAUGACAAAGAAGACCCGGCUAACUACGUGCCAGCAGCCGCGGGAAGACGUAGGGGGCAAGCGUUAUCCGGAUUUACUGGGUGUAAAGGGAGCGUAGACGGUUAUGUAAGUAUGGAGUGAAAUCCCGGGGCACAACCCCGGGACUGCCUUGGAAACUGUGUAACUUGAGUACAGGAGGGGCAGGCGGAAUUCCUGGUGUAGCGGUGAAAUGCGUAGAUAUCAGGAGGAACACCGGCGGCGAAGGCGGCCUGCUGGACUGAAACUGACGUUGAGGCUCGAAAGCGUGGGGAGCAAACAGGAUUAGAUACCCUUGUAGUC
rnacentral:rRNA from 1 species